AGGGCUUCAGAGACUGGAGGCACGGACCUGCAAGGAGCCAGGGCUGCCCGCCGCCGAGCCGCAGUCGCCGCCGCUGCCUCUGGCGUCGCUGCCGCUGUCAGCGCCCGUCUGAGGGGUGACAGCGCCGCAGAAGCAACGGCGAGCAACCAGCCGCGCGCCUACACGAAGCAGGUGCACGCGCGAUCUCCUGGUGAGUGGAGUCAGCCAGCAAGGUAACCAUUCAUGAGCCUGAGGCUGUGAGAAAUGCUUGCUGGGCAGUGGGGAACUCUCGCCAGAUUUUCUGAAGCUGUCCUAGAAAUACACUUUUCAGACUGAUUCAGCAUCACCAGCUUAUCCAACAACAGUGCUAACACAUACAUCAACAACGUCGAAAGUAGCGUACUUCAAGAGGAAGUAUGCAGAAGAGGAAGAUUUACAUCAGGAUUACCAUGGGUAUUUUCCAAAACACCUGAUAAUAGCUGAGGACAGGACUUGCAUUCUCAAACUUUCUCUGGAAAAGCUGAGGUUUCUUGAAGACCCAGAAACCUAUUUGAGAAGGUCUGUGUUGAUUAACAAUCUGCUGAGGAAGAUCCAUCUAGAGACCGAGAAAGAGAGCUAUGCAUACUUUAAAGAAGCUCCCUGUUAUAAGGCUGCGUAUUCUGAUACAAGAAAACGGCUGAAGUUUAUGGUGCAGGAAUGCUGUUCUCAGUCUCUGUAUUACGAGGAGCUGCAUUCAUAUCAUAUUGUGCCUUACGCUGCGGAGAAUGCCAUUUAUGGGCUGGGCUACACUAGUAGCCACUUGGAGCAGAAUUCUCAGUUGCUUAUUUAUAAAAUGAAUUAAAGUAACUGUUCAGUCCAUUGAUACUUUGUUUCUAAAUGCCUGAACUGUUUAUAGUGAAGAUGUUAAUAUAAGGCACUAAUGACCAGUGCACUUGAUAUCAAAGAUGAGAUGCAUGCUGAAUGGAUUGGCCAGAAACAUGGUUAUUACUCAGCAGUUCUUAGUAUCAUCAAAUUGAAUUGAAAAUACGUCCACAUGUUAUGUUAUGAGACAGUGAAUUAGUGCUUUAGAAGCCAAGAUUUUUUUUUUUUAAGUGUGGAGGAAGGUACUUAUAUCAAGCUGUUAAUACAGAUUAAGACUGUUAAACUCCCUGUUUCCAAAUUCUACCAGACUUGGUGAAGAGUACCAAACAAGUGACAGAUUAAAUUGAUAGUGUGUCUCUGAGAAUUAAGGGUGGAUCAAGUUUCAUUUUCUGUACAUGACAAGAAGGGUUUGACCCUCUCUGAGAAGCUUUGGGUUGGUAAAUACUGUGCCAAAAAUCAUUGUCUGGCACCGUUCCUCUUUCGCUGUUAGUGAGAACUCAAGAUGGGGCAAGGGCACUCUGCAACUUAACUGCUGAAUGUAACAACCACAUUUCUCCAAACUGAUCCAUUUCUCUCUUUUUUAAAUUCUUGGAAGACUUUUUCUCUUUAAAAGUGAAAUAAAAAAAAAAAUGUAAGAGGGCCUUGCAGAUGGGCUUAUCUUUAAGUUGGUUAAACUUUGUGAUGAGUUUUUAGUGAAGAGUUUACAUUUUAUUUAUGAUGUCAUUUUUAAUAGGCUGCGAAGCUCAGGAAAAGGAAAAAUUGGUUUUCAAUGGGUUAGCAAUUUUCAAAAAUCUCAUCUGCAGAAGUUAUUGAGAACAACGGAAAUUCUACAAGAUGCUGUUUCCUCAUCUAGCUAAGUGUGCAUUUAAGGUUACCUGGGGGGACUUUGCACUGAUUUUUGUAUAAUAGUUGAUCAUUCGCCAUUUGACAAGAUGUUUCAGAAUGCCUUUGGUGGUGAAGUUCAGAUAACUCCCUAUAUUUUUCAAUUUGAAAGAUAACUAUUUAACAUGUGGAGUAGACUCCCAAAACUGUUUGAAGUGGUUCAUGAAAUUCUUUGAAGUUUGAGUGAGAUGUUUGAUUUCAAUGUUUAGAGUUUUGUCCUGUGGAGCAUACUGUUUAAAGAAUUUUCACUAAAUGAUCACACAGAUUGGGAAAACGAGGUGCCAAAGGUGUGUUUAAGGAGAUACCAAAGACUCAAAGAUGAGUGUUAGGAGGACUAUGACAAUGAAGACAGGGAUGCAAACUAAGGAUUGCACGAGAUGUGGAAGAAUAUUUUUGAAAGGUUUUGGAACAGUUUGCUUACUAAUGCGCUUUCAGAGGACUUUAUACCUAAUAAUGAUUACCAAUGAUUUAAAUGAAGAUAUUACAGACCUUCUGGGAUCAUAUUCCAUUACAAAUUUAAAUCUAGAGACUUGUCAACAUAGUAUCUUCUAAGAGGUCAACUUGGAACCAACACAGCCAUUUUCUAUUCAAGAUAAUUUUUUUUCUAGUUAUGCUUCAGUCCUUGGUCUCUAAUCAGUCAGUAGGGUGAUUAACAUGGGUGCAUUUGGUAGAAAGAAGUCUAGCAUCCCAAUUAACGUGCACAAAGAUAGAUGAUUGAUAAAACUGUCAUGCUUCUAGUUAAUUGCUUAAGCAAAAUUAGAAAAAAAAUCACUUUUUAGAAACUGAAAAAGUAUAAUUGAAGUUAAUUUUUAAAGGCAAUUUACUAUGAAUGGUAGGACAGAUUUGAAUUACAGAUAUUUAAAAAUUAAUUUAAGGGAAAAAUUUGGCAUCAAAGUUCAAAAAUUUUAUUUCACUGCUCAUAAAACACCUUACUUCUCAUGAGGCUUCUUUUAAGACAUAGAUGUCUUAAACAAAAAUGGUAUUGAUUGAAAGACUCUAAAUUCAUACAUAAUUUAAAAAGUAUGAUUAGAAAUUUUUUAAAACUGAAGUGAAUAUUUGGCUUGGUUUAGUAUCCUGUCUAUAAAAAAGAAAAGACACCAAUGCUAAUAGAUGUGACUUAACGACAAUGCCAGAUAUUGAAAUUGGUUGAGGACAGAUACAGAUAUAUUGGAAUGGAAAAAAGAGGGAGAGAAAAAAUCACUACAAUAGUGUGAAAUUAUAAUUUAUAUUGUAUGUCAGAAACCUUGAAGCAAGAACUCUUGGGCAAUGAGCAAGCAGCAGGUGUAAAAGUCUAUUUUAUUUGAUGACAUCAUUCACCGUGCUCUCUGAGCCUUACAUACAUGUGUAAAGAAGGAACUGUCUUAGAAAUCAGUGAUAUUUGUGAAUAUGCUUUUUAAAAUGUGUUAAUUCAGAACAGGUUAUUUAAAAUAUCUUUUAGGGCAUUUCUUUUUUUUUUCCUGCAAACAACUCAUAGAUAAGGAGUUGACUAACAUUAUUUUGAUUUAAAAAAUAAUUCAUAUUUGAACGAUGUAAGCAUGUCUGAGCUAACCAGAGGGUUGCUGUCUUUGUACCAUGGCCAACUGAUAAUGUCAGGGAGUCUACACCGGCUUGCUCUGCUUCCCCUCUUACAUGCUCCGUUAUGGAGAGCUACAAAGGGCAGGAGACCAGCUCCAUCUCCUGAACGUGGACAUUCUUUCUCUGAUGACAGGAGCCAUCAGUAGGACAAGGAGAGGGGGUGGGCAGUCUGAGUGCCUUCUGUAAUGCUGAUCCCUUUUAUGGGGACCUAACCAGCCCACAGGCCUACCAGAGAAGAGAGACCCAAAGAAAGGGAGAAGAGGAAAAAUGAAGAGAAGGGUGGGGUGGGGAAGCAGAGGAAUAAGAGUCAAUACUAGGAAGUGGAAGACAAAGUUGCCUCGAGUGAGGGAAAUUGCUUGCUGUACUCAGUUUGGCUUUUCUGUGUGUGUGCUGCACACACACACACACACACACACACCCCAGAUCCCUGCCAUGUAUUGAUCUUUUUUUUUCAUUCACAGGAGAUGGAUAAGGCUAGAUCCUAUUUGCAUAGAUAAUGUUUCAAAUGUGGUUUUCAUGUGAAGUAACUUUGAAAAGGAGCUCUUUGAGUGAGUAAAGGAAAAGUAGAAAAUAGUUAAAUUGGGAGACAGACGAUAGGUGCGCAUGUGUCUGAAUGGGAAAGCUCAAAUGCAUGAUUUAAAUUCAUUGAACUUCCCAAGAUAAAACAAGUUCAGUGCUAGAGAACUGGGGAUGAGUGCAUUUCACCAGCAUUUGUUGAGCAACUGUUAAGAACCAGGCCCUGUGCUAGGGCGGAGGAUACAAUGCGCUUUCCGAGGACUUUAUAACUUCACUCAAGAAGGUCAUGCAUCGUGGGUUGGGGGACUCUGAUAGGCUGGUUUUGUUGAAAAAGGUCAAAGCUCUGGAUUUCUCUUUUCCAAACUGGGGCUUCUACCAAACAUGUGUCUCUUAACAGUGUUCUGAAGGGGGAAGAUGUACAAGAAGGAAGGUUUACUGGCCCGACAGAGCUUAGCAUGAAAGGAAUAAUGGACAUUUUCUGGUUUGCAGCAUUGCAAUAGAGGACUAGGAAGCACUGCACAGAGGAUGUGUGGCUGGCGUUCACUCCACCUUGGGGCAUGCCUUGGGGAUGGUAGGAAGACAGAUCAAGUAUGGAACAACCUCUUCUUCUUCCCCCUGCUCUCCAGCCUUUAUGUUCCUUCACAGUACACAUUAGGUUGCUACUAAUGUCAAGGAGAGCUUUAAAGGAGAAGCAGAACUCCAGCAUCAUAGCCUGGGAGUUGUGUUUCAUGGGUGCGAGGUCAGCCAGGCAGCCGUCCUUAAUUCCCCUUGUGCUAGUGAACUGCAUGAACGGUUUUCAGGCUUUCUUAACACCGACGGCCGGGACCCUCUUCCUUCUCUCACACUGGCCUCGUCUCUGCAUCACAAGCCUGACUCCCGGUCUUGCAAUCCGGCAUAAGUGGGAGUUACAAUUCUACUUUUCAACCCUACCUUGCCUGCUAGCAUUGGCUCCAAGACACUCAGAAGAAAAGUGAUGAUUUGCAGUUCUGGCUGAAUUCCUUGGGAAAAGGGUUUCCAGAGUGAAUUAAACUAGAAUCCAUGGCAACAUGGUCAUUAUUUAAUUCUUUUUAAGACUAUUGUAACUUAGUCAUUAAGUACAUGUUUUCUAAGGUUUCUAGAAUUUCAUGUUUCUAGAAUUCAAUGUUUCUACAAUUCAAUGUAUUAGGUAGCAAUUGUGUAUGUUUUGCUAAAGAAAAUACCUUACAUGGGAAACAAUGGAAGAUUGUGUAUAAUUCAAGUAGUUCAUGAAUAUUUAUGUAAAAUAUGCCAAUUUAAUUUAUAUGUUUUUGUUGGGAACUUCAUUACUAUAUAUCAGCAACAUGACAAACGUCACUCUUUUUGUCUCUUUUUUAAGCGGACUAUGUGUUGAAUUUGUCACAUUAUUCCUGGUUGAAUAUUUUGGACGAAUCUUCCCCGUUGAAGUGAUUUUUCCUUCCCUCAAGGAUUAUCCUUUAGUUGGGUGGAUUAAAAACAUUCCUUUAUAUUAGUGCUUUUCCAAGUGAACAUACAAAUCACUAGGGAUUUUGUUAGAGUAAAGAUUCCUUGUAGUGGUUCUGGGAUUCUGAGAGUCUUCAUUUCUCAGAUCUCCCAGGUGUUAUAGAUGCUAUUACAGACCAUACUUGGAGUAGCGAGGCUACAUCACCUUAGAGUGAAAGCGCAACUUUACCUAUCCUCAUACUUUCCAAAAAUCUGUGUUCAUGUCUACUUUUUAUAGACAUUCUUUUUCUUUAAAGGAAUAAACAGCAAAAAAUAAAAUGUCAUAAAGCCAUAAAACUGGUUUUCUGAAUGUGUCAUAAACAUCACAAUACUUAGUAACAUGCACAGAAAAUUACUUCUACGUUUUACCUGUGCCAAGUGCAGAAAAGGGGCAUAGUUCCAGUUGGGUACCAUUCUUAUCAGUCAUGAAGUGACAUGUGAUGUGUUUCUCCCCUUGAUUUCCCCUUCUUGCUUCUCCCCACAUAAGGAAGUUCCAUUUUUAACAUGAGAAAAGAUGCAGUUUUGCUCAGAGUUAACAAAAAUUCGGCCAUCUCUUGCUUGGCCACGUCUGAGAAAAUCGUACAAAAACAUUCUGUAUUAAAGUUAGAACUCUGUGUGGCUACAUGGGCUGAAGGUUUUGGUUAACCUGAGCUUAAAAAAAUG